rnacentral:rRNA from 1 species
AGAGCGAACGCUGGCGGCAGGCUUAACACAUGCAAGUCGAGCGCCGUAGCAAUACGGAGCGGCAGACGGGAGAGUAACACGUGGGAACGUACCCUUCGGUUCGGAACAACCCAGGGAAACUUGGGCUAAUACCGGAUACGUCCGUAAGGAGAAAGAUUUAUCGCCGAAGGAUCGGCCCGCGUCUGAUUAGCUAGUUGGUGGGGUAACGGCUCACCAAGGCGACGAUCAGUAGCUGGUCUGAGAGGAUGAUCAGCCUCACUGGGACUGAGACACGGCCCAGACUCCUACGGGAGGCAGCAGUGGGGAAUAUUGGACAAUGGGCGCAAGCCUGAUCCAGCCAUGCCGCGUGGGUGAUGAAGGCCCUAGGGUUGUAAAGCCCUUUCGGCGGGGAAGAUAAUGACGGUACCGCAGAAGAGCCCCGGCUAACUUCGCGCCAGCAGCCGC